GGUCCCGGCGUGCUGCCUUAUCACCUGGGACGCGCGAGGCGUCCUCGGACUAGUUCCCUGGGCGACGUUCGCCAAAGAUCCGCCUCCCGUGUGGGGAGCUUUCGGCGUUAGCGCGUGAGGCACGGACGAAAACAACGUGCUGGGACUCGGGGGCUGAGGCGAGGCGGAGCGCUGCCGCCUCCUAGCGCGUGACCUUCCCCUGCGGCCCCCUGCUCGAGCCUCCCCAGCACGUCCAGUGUAAAGAGGCCUUUCUUAACUCUGACCUGGCGUUUGGAGACCGUGUCCCUCCCGCCACGCGUCGGUGGUGCAGUGCCCUCUUCCGUGGCUGCGGCCCCCUCGCCCGUCUUCUCGUUCUCCACUCAGUCACCGACCUCGGACAUCGGAAGGUGCCCGAAGUGCCCUCGCGAAAGUCUGGGAAUAUGGCAGAUCCUGAAUUUUCCAAGUAAAGAAAAUGGACUCUACGUGGGUAAACAUGAAACGACGUAGAAAGAGAACUGAAACUCAAGACAGUGGGACCAGUCUAAUCACGGGUGUCCUGAACGUGGAAGAAGGAAGCAGAAGAUGAGGUCAGAUGGGAAGACUCAACUGACUAUUACUGGCUGUGAAAGUGGAGGAAAGAAUGCUGAUGGCCCCUAGAAGUUAAGAAAGGCAAGUCAAUACAACCUCACCCUGGAGACUCCCCGGGAAAAAACAGAGCCCUAUCAACCCCUUCAUUUUAUCCCAGAGAGACCUAUGUUUUGGAUUUGUGCAUUAAGUCACUAAGGUUGUGGUCACUUGUUACUGCAGUAAUUGAAAACUAAUACAGCCGUUUAUCAUUUAAUUUCAUUCUCUGCAUUAUAGCACAGUGAUUAUUUAAGAUCCAAAUAUUCUUCUUUUCUUCUCUCUUUUUAGGCAAGCAACAUAAUGUCAUAGAAAGGAUAAUGAUCUAUUACUUAGAUAUUAUGGAUUCAGAAACUUCAUUAACUGUUGUACCUCCAUAAUCACAUACUACUCAU